AUGCCCUCGACCGCACGCACGACUCUCCUACCCUCCACUCGCACGCCCGACUACGCCCGACUCACUGCCCACGUUCGCGGCCGCCCUCCAUCCCUUCGACGCCGCCGCUCCAUCCCUUCGCCGCCGCUAACGUGCCGGAUCUUGCCUCAGUCGCCGCCUCUCCGCCAUGAAAGAGAGGGCUCCCGAUCUCCGCCGGAGUCGACCAACAGCGCGACGCGCCACCAGAUCGGCGACGCGCCGGGAUCGCCUCUCCGCCUCGGCGCUUGCGCUUCCAGAUCGAAGCCCACGACGGCGGCGUCCCAGAUUGGUGACGCGCCACCGUACGUCACGGCUGACAGCCGUGUCCUCGUCAAGGAAGCGUCGCUUCGAGGUGGCGGCAACCAAGGCCUCCCGGAUCCCCGCCUCCUUCCUCACAUCUCCGGCGGCGACAGCGACAAAUUCCGACACCAUGAGGCCACCGGCACGAGGAGGAUGCGGCGGGAGGGGUUUCGGCGGCAGGAGCGACGGCGGCGACCGCAGGGGGGCAGGGGCUUCGGCGGGAGAAGCGAUGGCGGUGGCCGCAGCGGCAGGGGUGGCCGGGGAGGCAGGACGCCCAGGGGCCGUGGUCGUGGCGGCGGGGGAAGGGGAGGGCCCGGCAUGAAGGGUGGGAGCAAGGUGGUCAUGGUGCCGCACAAGCACGACGGCGUCUUCAUCACCAAGGCCAAGGAGGACCCGCUCUGCACCAAGAACAUGGUCGCCGGGUAG
rnacentral:rRNA from 1 species